GGGGGCGUAAUUUCAGGCAGGAUAGUCCUAACCUUUUCCUGUGGGGAACAGGGCGAAAUUCACAUGGGAUAGCAAUCAGUAAAGCCUGCCUUUGGGCGUUACAGAGUGCGAAUGACAAAACAAAGGAUACGUACGUAGAAACUGCAGUGGAAUAUUUUCGGACGCGGGUUCGACUCCCGCCGCCUCCACCA
rnacentral:tRNA from 1 species